rnacentral:rRNA from 1 species
CAGCAGCCGCGGGAAAACAGAGGGUGCGAGCGUUAAUCGGAUUUACUGGGCGUAAAGCGUGCGUAGGCGGCUUUUUAAGUCGGAUGUGAAAUCCCUGAGCUUAACUUAGGAAUUGCAUUCGAUACUGGGAAGCUAGAGUAUGGGAGAGGAUGGUAGAAUUCCAGGUGUAGCGGUGAAAUGCGUAGAGAUCUGGAGGAAUACCGAUGGCGAAGGCAGCCAUCUGGCCUAAUACCGACGCUGAGGUACGAAAGCAUGGGGAGCAAACAGGAUUAGAGACCCCCGUAGUCCCUGUCUCUUAAAC